rnacentral:rRNA from 1 species
UGUAUGCCUAUAUAGGGGGAUCUUUGGAUCGGUAAGCGAGGAAGGAUGAAACUUAAAUCGUUAUUCAUAGCGAAUUGUGUUCUUUCUAUCUGUGUUUUUUGAAUUUUGGUAAGGGUUACCUUUGGUAAUUGGUUCGUUUCAAUGCCGCUGCUACUCUCUUUAUGACCGAUAAUUUUCGUGCUAUUUAAUAGUAAUCAGUGAUUGUCGUUAAUGUGUAGCUGAAUUGUGUCAAGGAGUUUUGGGCUUGAGGCGUAUUGGCUAACGUACUGAAUUUAAGCAUAUUAAUAAGUACGAAUCAAAAUAAUUAUGAAGCCACAAGUACUGGCGAAGGAAAAUGGUUCGCGGUUAGCUAAGACAUCGCAAAUGCGUAGUUGUUGUGCGUUUGACUAAUAAGUUGGAAUUUAGAUCGAGUCUACAUCGAAUUAUGUGGAGAGUUUGGUGAGAUCCCAGAUAUAUCUUGGCUUCAGCUACUGUCGUUGUAAGUAGCGUUACUUCAAAAUGUAGCGUGAAUUCGGAGGUAAUCGCCUUCGAAACGUAAUUCAUAUCUGAUUCCGAUAGUGUAACAGUACCGUGAGGGAAAAGUGAAAAGGCGGCUAUAAAGCCUGUUAAAAGAAACUCAACUAUAUCGGUAGAAGGUUGUUUGUAGGACAAGCUGAGCUUGAAAACCUCAGUGGGUAGGAGUUGUGCUAUGAUCUCAUCACUAUGCGUCUUACCUGUAACGCCCGUCUUGAAACACGGACCAAGGAGUCAUUCCAUGCUGCGAACUGAAACCUUAUUUGUGAAAGUACAUUUAAGUGGCAUUGAAUGGACCCGAAAGGUGGUGAACUAUUCCUGAGAGGGUAUACGCCAGGGGAAACCCUGGCAGAUGGCCUAUCUGAUACUGACGUGCAAUUCGUUCAUUAUAUUUGGGAAUAGGGGCGAAAGACUAAUCGAACCACUUAGUAGCUGGUUCCUCUCGAAGUUUCUCCUAGGAUAGCGGACAUGAUAAGAAAUCACAUGGAUUAGAGCAAUGUUUUGAGGAUCCGGGGACAACUGUUCUUGACCUAGUCACAAACUACUAACGCAUGUUGGCUGCCGGUUCAUUGGCCGUAAGUCUUCGAUUCUCAUGUCUCGUGGACCGUUUUUGGUAAGCAGAUACGGUGCUUUGGAAUGCUCCAAGCAUGAUGGAAAGGGAUAUAACUCUUCGUUUAUUUCUUUAAAAGGUGUUUAUACAUUUAAACAGUCCGAGGAUGGCCAUGGAAGUAGGAAUUCCCUAAGGAGUGUGUAACAACUCACGGACCGAAUGGAUAAGCCCUUAAAAUGGACUGUGUUAAAACGAUGGGCCCGUAUCAUCAUAGCUCAAUAUAUUCUAUUGAGUUUGUAGAGAGGCGUGUCCAUUGAAUGGAAGUUCGGUUUUGAGACCGGGUGGAUCAAUGGACAUUGUAGAUCUUGGUAGAAGUAGCAACAUUUUAGUUUUAAACUAAAAGACGGAUGAAGGAGAGGUUUUUAUGGAUACAUUAUAUGGCUAUAAGUGAACCGAUCUUAACAACAUUAAUUAUGUUGGAAAAGGAAUCAGGCUUUCAUUCCUGAGUUCGGAGGAUUAAUAAUUGCGGUGACGUUUCAUCUACUAAAAUGUCUAGGGUGUACUUUCUGGCUGCGUUCUCUAUGCUCCUUAACUCCCUACGUAUUGUUGAAGAGAUUUAGUCUAAGACACAAUAUUAGGGCAGGAAUUAUGUAUUUAUACAAGAUCGGUACACCAUUGCGCUCACUUUAAGUAGAUAAUAUGUCCUCCGAUUCGUACCAAUAACCGCAUCAGGUCUCUAGGGUUCAAAACCUUUCGUUUGUGGAAUAAAAUAGGCUAGGGAAGUCGGCAAAAUAGAUCUGUAACCUUGGAAAAAGGGUUGGCUCUGCAAGCUGUAAGGUAGUAACUUUGUUUGGCGUAUGGGAGUUUGACUCACCGUAUUAGUUAAAUAUUGCGAACUGUCUUUAAAAUGCUAUAGUAGAACCGAGACAUUAAGGGGAAUCCGACAGUUUAACUAAAACCAAGCACUCUGAAUGUGGAAACAUCAGUACAGAAUGUGAAUUCUGCCCGGUGCUUUGAAUGUCAAUGUGAGGAGACUCAUUUAAGCGCGGGUUAACGGCAGGCGUAACUAUGACGCUUUCAACGUAGCAAAAUGCCUCGUCAUCUAAUUAGUGACUCGCAUGAACGGAUUAAUGAGAUUCCUACUGUCCCUGUCUAUUUUCCAGCGAAUCUACAGCUUAGGGAACGGGCUAAGCUUUGACAGAACGGCAAGAAGACCCUGUUGAGGUUGACUCUAGCUAAUUUUUGUACAGUUGCACAAGUGGAGUAGUGUAUGUGGGAGCUUUGGCAACAAUGAAACACCACAACAUUUGACGCGGCUGAACUUACUCACUGUGUUGUUUUUCUUUCUUAAGCAUUUAGGGAAUAGUGGGGACAUUCAUUGGUUGGGAGUUUGGCUGGGGCGGUACAUCUGUUAAAAUUCACCACAGGUGUCCAAUGAUUAUCUCAGUUAGAUCAGAAAUCUAACGUAGACUAAAAGGAGAAAAGAUAGUUUUAUCAUGUCCUUCAAAAGCGGACACGAUUGCGAAAGCAAGGCCUAUCGAUCCUUUCAGAAACCGGAGGUUGGACUGAGAGGUGUCUGAAAACUUACCACAGGGAUAACUGAUUUGUGGCAGCCAAGCGUUCAUAGCGACGUUGCUUUUUGAUCCUUCGAUGUCGGCUCUUCCUAUCAUGAAGUUGCAGAAGGCUUCAAGUGUUAGAUUGUUCACCUAUUAAAAGGGAUCGUGAGCUGGGUUCAGACCGUCGUGAGACAGGUUAGUUUUAUCCGUCUGUCUUGUCAAGCGUUUCAGUAGCUUGGCCCAGUACGAGAGGAACUGUCCCGCGCUUCCACUUUUAAAGCAAUCGCCAGAAAGGGUGGGUUGCGGCGAUAAGAAGAUGAAUUUUAUGCUGACUGCCUCUAAAUAUAAAAUUCAGUUGGAAUAGUUUGAUUUCGGCCAAAUCGGAAUUAGUCCUGGAUACGGCCCGUGAUUAUGUGGGCUACGACCGCAGCGUGCACUAAUCGUAUGAGCUAUGAAGUAGCUUUUGCUGCAACAUGUUGAGCGAUAAUUGUAUGACUUUACGAAUACAAUAGGUAACGUAAAUUACCGACGGACAAAGUUUGGGUUACAUAGAUUCUUUGUUUAUCGUAUUGUUCUUUAUCAG